GACGAACGCUGGCGGCGUGCCUAAUACAUGCAAGUAGAACGCUGAAGGAGGAGCUUGCUUCUCUGGAUGAGUUGCGAACGGGUGAGUAACGCGUAGGUAACCUGCCUGGUAGCGGGGGAUAACUAUUGGAAACGAUAGCUAAUACCGCAUAAGAGUAGAUGUUGCAUGACAUUGGCUUAAAAGGUGCAAUUGCAUCACUACCAGAUGGACCUGCGUUGUAUUAGCUAGUUGGUGGGGUAACGGCUCACCAAGGCGACGAUACUUAGCCGAUCUGAGAGGGGGAGCGGCCACACUGGGACUGAGACACGGCCCAGACUCCUACGGGAGGCAGCAGUAGGGAAUCUUCGGCAAUGGACGGAAGUCUGACCGAGCAACGCCGCGUGAGUGAAGAAGGUUUUCGGAUCGUAAAGCUCUGUUGUAAGAGAAGAACGAGUGUGAGAGUGGAAAGUUCACACUGUGACGGUAUCUUACCAGAAAGGGACGGCUAACUACGUG
rnacentral:rRNA from 1 species